UGGGGAAUAUUGCACAAUGGGCGCAAGCCUGAUGCAGCCAUGCCGCGUGUGUGAAGAAGGCCUUCGGGUUGUAAAGCACUUUCAGCGAGGAGGAAGGUGGUGAGCUUAAUACGCUCAUCAAUUGACGUUACUCGCAGAAGAAGCACCGGCUAACUCCGUGCCAGCAGCCGCGGUAAUACGGAGGGUGCAAGCGUUAAUCGGAAUUACUGGGCGUAAAGCGCACGCAGGCGGUUUGUUAAGUCAGAUGUGAAAUCCCCGGGCUCAACCUGGGAACUGCAUUUGAAACUGGCAAGCUAGAGUCUCGUAGAGGGGGGUAGAAAUUCCAGGUGUAGCGGUGAAAUGCGUAGAGAUCUAGAGGAAUACCGGUGGCGAAGGCGGCCCCCUGGACGAAGACUGACGCUCAGGUGCGAAAAGCGUGGGGAGCAAAACAGGAUUAGAUACCCUGGUAGUCCACGCUGUAAAACGAUGUCGAUUUUGGAGGUUGUGCCCUUGAGGCGUGGCUUCCGGAGCUAACGCGUUAAAUCGACCGCCUGGGGAGUACGGCCGCAAGGUU
rnacentral:rRNA from 1 species